rnacentral:rRNA from 1 species
GACGAACGCUGGCGGCGUGCUUAACACAUGCAAGUCGAACGGAAAGGCCCUGCUUUUGUGGGGUGCUCGAGUGGCGAACGGGUGAGUAACACGUGAGUAACCUGCCCUUGACUUUGGGAUAACUUCAGGAAACUGGGGCUAAUACCGGAUAGGAGCUCCUGCUGCAUGGUGGGGGUUGGAAAGUUUCGGCGGUUGGGGGUGGACUCGCGGCUUAUCAGCUUGUUGGUGGGGUAGUGGCUUACCAAGGCUUUGACGGGUAGCCGGCCUGAGAGGGUGACCGGCCACAUUGGGACUGAGAUACGGCCCAGACUCCUACGGGAGGCAGCAGUGGGGAAUAUUGCACAAUGGGCGGAAGCCUGAUGCAGCAACGCCGCGUGCGGGAUGACGGCCUUCGGGUUGUAAACCGCUUUCACCUGUGACGAAGCGUGAGUGACGGUAAUGGGUAAAGAAGCACCGGCUAACUACGUGCCAGCAGCCGCGGUGAUACGUAGGGUGCGAGCGUUGUCCGGAUUUAUUGGGCGUAAAGGGCUCGUAGGUGGUUGAUCGCGUCGGAAGUGUAAUCUUGGGGCUUAACCCUGAGCGUGCUUUCGAUACGGGUUGACUUGAGGAAGGUAGGGGAGAAUGGAAUUCCUGGUGGAGCGGUGGAAUGCGCAGAUAUCAGGAGGAACACCAGUGGCGAAGGCGGUUCUCUGGGCCUUUCCUGACGCUGAGGAGCGAAAGCGUGGGGAGCGAACAGGCUUAGAUACCCUGGUAGUCCACGCUGUAAACGGUGGGUACUAGGUGUGGGGUCCAUUCCACGGGUUCCGUGCCGUAGCUAACGCUUUAAGUACCCCGCCUGGGGAGUACGGCCGCAAGGCUAAAACUCAAAGGAAUUGACGGGGCCCCGCACAAGCGGCGGAGCAUGCGGAUUAAUUCGAUGCAACGCGUAGAACCUUACCUGGGUUUGACAUGGAUCGGGAGCGCUCAGAGAUGGGUGUGCCUCUUUUGGGGUCGGUUCACAGGUGGUGCAUGGCUGUCGUCAGCUCGUGUCGUGAGAUGUUGGGUUAAGUCCCGCAACGAGCGCAACCCUUGUUCACUGUUGCCGGCACGUUAUGGUGGGGACUCAGUGGAGACCGCCGGGGUCAACUCGGAGGAAGGUGGGGAUGACGUCAAGUCAUCAUGCCCCUUAUGUCCAGGGCUUCACGCAUGCUACAAUGGCUGGUACAGAGAGUGGCGAGCCUGUGAGGGUGAGCGAAUCUCGGAAAGCCGGUCUCAGUUCGGAUUGGGGUCUGCAACUCGACCUCAUGAAGUCGGAGUCGCUAGUAAUCGCAGAUCAGCAACGCUGCGGUGAAUACGUUCCCGGG